CCGUCUCUCGGCCGCCGCAUCUGGAGAGUGGAGAGCAGAGAUUCGCACGGCACCAGCUCGCGGCACGUCACUCCAGCUCGCCCCUACCCGCAGUCGGCCGCCCCUACUCACGCUCCACCGUCGUCGACUCCCUCGGCAAUCUGUGCGCCGCCGCGUCGUCGUCCUCAGAUCCGCUCGCGGACAUGGCGCUGGAGCAGAACAGCCGGCCCUGCACGUUAUCCCCUGCGGCCACGAACGCCUACGGCACUAACGGAAUGCCGAGCGCAUGGCUGGGCGAGCUGGAGAUCUUCGGCGCCACGCUGCGGGGCAACGCCGGGAGGUACGCCAUCGCCUCGUGCCCCUUCCCCUAGAUCUUCACCAGUGCUUGCUCUCUCCUUUGCAGCAUCCCCUGCACCUAGCGGGCGAGGCCGCGGCUUGAGCACUCUGGUGAGCGUCGCCUUCCCUUGCCGCGUCGCUGCACUGGCCACCGGGAGUGGGUCAGGCGGCGCAUCCCAGGCGCAGAGGGUCCUGAGUCCUGACGACCUUGGUCCGGCGCUGGAGCCGUCGUCCUCCUGCGUGAAGGUAGUAGUGGCCUGAGUGCUUCCCAUGUUCCCCACAUGGAAAUCAAUUCGCAAAUCCAUGGUAAGCUUUGUGAUGCUUGGUCGAAUGUUAGUUAAGUUUGCCUGGAAGUGCUUGUGAAAUAGCAAAUUAUUUUGUCAGAAUUGGCUGAUGCAAUGAUUGAACUGGAGUCAUGAAAUUGCUUGUGAGCUAGCACAUUAUUUUUUUCAUGGGACAUAAUAUUCUUUGCUAGGCGCUUAGCUGAUUGCAGGCGCUGGUGGCUUGAGCAUUAUUUGGAGUUGCUGGUGCCUUUUGCAUGUUGAUGUUUUGAUCAUUUUGUUUUCUUCGACACUUUGAGCUUAAUGUUUACCUUAAGUUCAAAUCUGUUUGUUAUAUUGGUCAUUUUGCUGGUGAGGUCAAAUCUCUUAGCAGUUACCAGACUACUCUGAAUCUGGGAUGGUCUCUUUUAGCUCAGAAGCAUCAUGACAUAUAGUGGCUUUCAAGCGUAUAACUUCUGAAUAUUUGUUUAGACUUCACAAGACUGCUGGGUAAUAUGAUUGCGGUAGCAUAGACUUCGUGGCAGUUAUAUCAGGCUCAUUUGUGCUUGCGACAGGUAUUACAUCAGUGUAAGCAACCAAUUACAGAUCAGUAUAGAUCAAUAGCUGUUAUUGCUAUGGCUAGUUGCUCCUUGUACAGAUCAUUUAACUAAUUACAAUAUGGCUAAUUUGCUAUGCCAAUUCAUGUAAUUGUUAAGUCUCGAUCUAUAACUUGGGAAGCUCCUUGUUAUGUACUAUAUAUUUGAAGAAUAGACAGAUGUCUUUCUCCUGUUAUGCACUUGUUAGACUUCCAAGGACAUACUUUUAUUCAGAUUAGUCACAUCCUUUAUUCAGAUUCUCUCUGUUGUCAGGCAGUCAGUGGAGCUCGGCUCUUUCCGUAGUUUGUGUUCUUUUCAUUCCAGUUGUUUUGAUCUCUAUCGCAGUGCGGACACAGUUUAGUGCUGAGCACUUCUUCUCUGCAGGUGAGCUCGACAGUUCGUGCACAGGCAGCAACAUUACAGAUCAAGUUCAGUUUCUCUCAGGAUUCACAACAUGGAAAAGAACAGAACUACCAUUUUGGAAUGCUUUAAGAAGAACCAAGUACUGAGAGGAUAGAGGGGAAAGAAGGGGCAAACAUAGGAUUUAGUUGUUAGAGAAAAAUUUCAGAAGUAGUUGUUAGCAUAUUAUUUUCUGGAGUCAAGAAUCGAUUUUAUGAACGCAGCUGUCUUGAUGAGCAAACUUUUCCAUUAUCUUAUAGAUUUUGUAAAUGGCUAUAUAUUAUAUAAUUUGUAAAUGGAUUGAUACAUAUUAUAGAAAUAUCUAUGAAAGCAUCUUUAUAUGUGUUGUGA